GCUACGUCCUCUGGCCAAGCUGUAGU
rnacentral:piRNA from 1 species